rnacentral:ncRNA from 1 species
UAAAAUGCUAUGAUGAAGAGGAGUAAACUAAAACUUCCGUCAGAGAGGGAGGCUCAUAGGCUGAAAGGUUUUCCGGGUUUAUGUUUUUAGUUGAAGGUAGCUUCUGAGCAUCCGGGCUGAAUUUAAAGUAAGCUCUGACGGUUUCAACCGUUAUGUAUUGAGAGCCGGUGUUAGCCGGAAUUAAGGUGGUACCACGGAAAUAUAUCCUUUCGUCCUUUCU